GACGAACGCUGGCGGCGUGCUUAACACAUGCAAGUCGAACGAAGUGGCGAACGGGUGAGUAACGCGUAAUCAACCUGCCCUUCAGAGGGGGACAACAGUUGGAAACGACUGCUAAUACCGCAUACUGAAGGAGGGGAUUGCGUCGGAUUGGCUAGUUGGAGGGGUAACGGCCCACCAAGGCGAUGAUCAGUAGCCGGGCUGAGAGGAUUAACGGCCACAAUGGGAAUGAGACACGGCCCAGACUCCCACCGGAGGCAGCAGGUGGGAAUCUUCCGCAAUUGACGGAAGUCUGACGGAGCAACGCCGCGUGAGUGAUGACGGCCUUCGGGUUGUAAAGCUCUGUUAAGCGGGACGCGGUACCGGAAUAGAAAGCCACGGCUAACUACGUGCCAGCAGCCGCGGUAAUAC
rnacentral:rRNA from 1 species